UACGUAGGGCGCAAGCGUUGUCCGGAAUCAUUGGGCGUAAAGAGCGUGUAGGCGGCUUGGUAAGUCCGCUGUGAAAGUCCAGGGCUCAACCCUGGAAAGCCGGUGGAAACUGUCAAGCUUGAGUCCGGAAGAGGCGAGUGGAAUUCCUGGUGUAGCGGUGAAAUGCGCAGAUAUCAGGAGGAACACCAAUGGCGAAGGCAGCUCGCUGGGACGGUACUGACGCUGAGACGCGAAAGCGUGGGGAGCAAACAGG
rnacentral:rRNA from 1 species